CAAUAGCGUAUAUUAAAGUUGUUGCAGUUAAAAAGCUCGUAGUUGAAUUUCUGUCAGGAGUGACCGGGCCUUUGGAUGAACUUCCAUUGUUUUUUGCUCUGUUUGUCAUCUCUAGACAUCCUGAAAUAUUUUUUAAAAAUACUUCUCUUUUACUGUUAGCAAAAUAGAGUGUUCCAAGCAAAGCGUAGUUUUGAAUACAUUAGAAUGGAAUAAUAAGAUAGGACUUUGGUGCUAUUUUGUUGGUUUGCACACCAAGGUAAUGAUUAAUAGGGACAGUUGGGGGUAUUCGUAUUUAAUUGUCAGAGGUGAAAUUCUUGGAUUUAUGAAAGACGAACUACUGCGAAAGCAUUUACCAAGGAUGUUUUCAUUAA
rnacentral:rRNA from 1 species